AGAAGGAGAGAGAAAGGAAGAACCCCUUGCAACUUUCAAGCACAAAAUAUAGAAAUCAAGAGUGAAAUCAAGUGGAUUUUGAUUGCAUGUUUGAAGGUUCUAGCUCUCUAACAUCAUCUAAACCUACAAAUCACAAGUUUGACUCUUGACAAGCUAGGUGGAACCUUGGAAAGGAAUGGGUCAAGCGGGUCAAAAGCGCGAGAAAGCAUGAACGUACGCAAGGCUUUUUCAAAAGAGGGAAACAAGCGGAAGGACCACCCAGCUCGCGAAGAACUGAACACUCCUAUACUGCAUUUUUUCCGCCAGAGAAUCCUUUCGGGAACAUUUAAGCAUGUUCAUGCAUGGCAAAGCUUUCGAGUUUAAAACCUUUAUAAUGUAAAACAAGUGUAAUAAUUGGUUAUGCCGAUUCGUCGGGUUAUCUAUCAACCGAGACUGUUUGAUAUACAAAAAAAAAAAUCUAGGACCUAAUCUUUCAAACUUGUAAGUUAUUUGGUCUUAACGGGAUAGA